AGAAAAACCUUCUCCCUUCGCUCUGCUGGAAGCUGGAGGGCGCUAGGCCCCUGUGCAGUAGUGCAUAGAAUUCUAGCUUUUUUCCUCCUUUCUCUGUAUAUUGGGCUCAGAGAGUACACUGUGUCUCUAUGUGAAUAUGGACAGUUAGCAUUUACCAACAUGUAUCUGUCUACUUUCUCUUGUUUAAAAGAAGAAAAAAAAAACUAAAAAAAAAAUGAGGUUAUAGAAGGUCAGCAAAGGGUGGGUUUGAGAUGUUUGGGUGGGUUAAGUGGGCAUUUUGACAACAUGGCUUCUCCUUUGGCAUGUUUAAUUGUGAUAUUUGACAGACAUCCUUGCAGUUUAAGAUGACACUUUUAAAAUAAAUUCUGUCCUAAUG
rnacentral:lncRNA from 1 species